GCAAGCGUAGCUUAAUCAAAAGCUUAAUAUUGAAGAUGUUAGGAUGGGCUCUAGAACGCCCCGCAAGCA
rnacentral:tRNA from 1 species